rnacentral:rRNA from 1 species
CCAGUAGUCAUAUGCUUGUCUCAAAGAUUAAGCCAUGCAUGUCUCAGUACAAGCCAAAUUAAGGUGAAACCGCGAAAGGCUCAUUAAAUCAGUUAUGGUUCCUUAGAUCGUACCCACAUUUACUUGGAUAACUGUGGUAAUUCUAGAGCUAAUACAUGCAAACAGAGCUCCGACCGGAGACGGAAGGAGCGCUUUUAUUAGAUCAAAACCAAUCGGUGGCGGGUCUCCCGUCACCGUACACCUUGGUGACUCUGAAUAACUUGUUGCUGAUCGCACGGUCUCGCACCGGCGACGCAUCUUUCAAAUGUCUGCCUUAUCAACUGUCGAUGGUAGGUUCUGCGCCUACCAUGGUUGUAACGGGUAACGGGGAAUCAGGGUUCGAUUCCGGAGAGGGAGCCUGAGAAACGGCUACCACAUCCAAGGAAGGCAGCAGGCGCGCAAAUUACCCACUCCCGGCACGGGGAGGUAGUGACGAAAAAUAACGAUACGGGACUCAUCCGAGGCCCCGUAAUCGGAAUGAGUACACUCUAAACCCUUUAACGAGGAUCAAUUGGAGGGCAAGUCUGGUGCCAGCAGCCGCGGUAAUUCCAGCUCCAAUAGCGUAUAUUAAAGUUGUUGCGGUUAAAAAGCUCGUAGUCGAAUUUGUGUCCCGCGCCGCCGGUUCAUCGCUCGCGGUGUCAACUGGCGUGUCCGCGGGACGUCCUGCCGGUGGGCUUAGCCUUUCGUGGGCGGCCCAAUCUCAAUCCCACCGCGGUGCUCUUCACUGAGUGUCGAGGUGGGCCGGCACGUUUACUUUGAACAAAUUAGAGUGCUUAAAGCAGGCUAAAACAUCGCCUGAAUACUGUGUGCAUGGAAAAAUGGAAUAGGACCUCGGUUCUAUUUUGUUGGUUUUCGGAACCCCGAGGUAAUGAUUAAUAGGAACGGAUGGGGGCAUUCGUAUUGCGACGUUAGAG